CCUACGGGCGGCAGCAGUGAGGAAUAUUGGUCAAUGGACGAGAGUCUGAACCAGCCAAGUAGCGUGAAGGAUGACUGCCCUAUGGGUUGUAAACUUCUUUUAUAUGGGAAUAAAACAGGGUAUGCAUACCCUCUUGUAUGUACCAUAUGAAUAAGAAUCGGCAAACUCCGGGCAACAGGCGGCGGGAAUACGGAGGAUCCGAGCGUUAUCCGGAUUUAUUGGGUUUAAGGGUAGCGUAGGUGGAUUGUUAAGUAAGUUGUGAAAGUUUGCGGCUCAACCGUAAAAUUGCAGUUGAAACUGGCAGUCUUGAGUACAGUAGAGGUGGGCGGAAUGCGUGGUGUAGCGGUGAAAUGCUUAGAUAUCACGAAGAACUCCGAUUGCGAAGGCAGCUCACUGGACUGCAACUGACACUGAUGCUCGAAAGUGUGGGUAUCAAACAGGAUUAGAUACCCUAGUAGUC
rnacentral:rRNA from 1 species